GGUGGAUUAGUGGCGAACGGGUGAGUAACACGUGGGCAAUCUGCCCUUCACUCUGGGACAAGCCCUGGAAACGGGGUCUAAUACCGGAUAACACUCUGUCCCGCAUGGGACGGGGUUAAAAGCUCCGGCGGUGAAGGAUGAGCCCGCGGCCUAUCAGCUUGUUGGUGGGGUAAUGGCCUACCAAGGCGACGACGGGUAGCCGGCCUGAGAGGGCGACCGGCCACACUGGGACUGAGACACGGCCCAGACUCCUACGGGAGGCAGCAGUGGGGAAUAUUGCACAAUGGGCGAAAGCCUGAUGCAGCGACGCCGCGUGAGGGAUGACGGCCUUCGGGUUGUAAACCUCUUUCAGCAGGGAAGAAGCGAAAGUGACGGUACCUGCAGAAGAAGCGCCGGCUAACUACGUGCCAGCAGCCGCGGUAAUACGUAGGGCGCAAGCGUUGUCCGGAAUUAUUGGGCGUAAAGAGCUCGUAGGCGGCUUGUCACGUCGGAUGUGAAAGCCCGGGGCUUAACCCCGGGUCUGCAUUCGAUACGGGCUAGCUAGAGUGUGGUAGGGGAGAUCGGAAUUCCUGGUGUAGCGGUGAAAUGCGCAGAUAUCAGGAGGAACACCGGUGGCGAAGGCGGAUCUCUGGGCCAUUACUGACGCUGAGGAGCGAAAGCGUGGGGAGCGAACAGGAUUAGAUACCCUGGUAGUCCACGCCGUAAACGUUGGGAACUAGGUGUUGGCGACAUUCCACGUCGUCGGUGCCGCAGCUAACGCAUUAAGUUCCCCGCCUGGGGAGUACGGCCGCAAGGCUAAAACUCAAAGGAAUUGACGGGGCCCGCACAAGCAGCGGAGCAUGUGGCUUAAUUCGACGCAACGCGAAGAACCUUACCAAGGCUUGACAUAUACCGGAAAGCAUCAGAGAUGGUGCCCCCCUUGUGGUCGGUAUACAGGUGGUGCAUGGCUGUCGUCAGCUCGUGUCGUGAG
rnacentral:rRNA from 1 species